rnacentral:rRNA from 1 species
UACGAAGGGGGCUAGCGUUGCUCGGAAUCACUGGGCGUAAAGCGCACGUAGGCGGAUUGUUAAGUCAGGGGUGAAAUCCUGGAGCUCAACUCCAGAACUGCCUUUGAUACUGGCGAUCUCGAGUCCGGGAGAGGUGAGUGGAACUGCGAGUGUAGAGGUGAAAUUCGUAGAUAUCAGGAGGAACACCUGUGGCGAAAGCGGCUCACUGGACCACACUGACGCUGAUGCACGAAAGCUAGGGGAGCAAACAGG